rnacentral:rRNA from 1 species
GGCCUAUCAGCUUGUUGGUGGGGUAAUGGCCUACCAAGGCGUCGACGGGUAGCCGGCCUGAGAGGGUGGACGGCCACACUGGGACUGAGACACGGCCCAGACUCCUGCGGGAGGCAGCAGUGGGGAAUAUUGCACAAUGGGCGCAAGCCUGAUGCAGCGACGCCGCGUGAGGGAUGGAGGCCUUCGGGUUGUGAACCUCUUUCGCCAGUGAAGCAGGCCUGCCUCGUUUGUGGGUGGGUUGACGGUAGCUGGAUAAGAAGCGCCGGCUAGCUACGUGCCAGCAGCCGCGGUAAUACGUAGGCGCGAGCGUUGUCCGGAAUUAUUGGGCGUAAAGAGCUCGUAGGCGGCUGGUCGCGUCUGUCGUGAAAUCCUCUGGCUUAACUGGGGGCUUGCGGUGGGUACGGGCCGGCUUGAGUGCGGUAGGGGAGGCUGGAACUCCUGGUGUAGCGGUGGAAUGCGCAGAUAUCAGGAAGAACACCGGUGGCGAAGGCGGGUCUCUGGGCCGUUACUGACGCUGAGGACGAAAGCGUGGGGAGCGAACAGGAUUAGAUACCCUGUAGUCCUCGCUGUAAACGUUGGGCACUAGGUGUGGGGCCACCCGUGGUUUCUGCGCCGUACUAACGCUUUAGUGCCCCGCCUGGGGAGUACGG